AUGGCCGCCAAGCGUGAGGCCAGCGUUGCCGGGCAGCUGCUCGUCGUCGCCCUCGUGGUGGUGGCGGCCCCAUCAUCCGUGCCGGUGGCCAGGGGGGAGGCGAAGGCCGCUUGCCUCAGCGAGUACUCCAAGCUCUGCGGCAAAGACGAGAAGAAGGACGCGGCGUGCGCCACCAUGGUCGACAAGGCCUGCGGCACCGAGGCCAACAGCGUGGCCUUCAUCGAGCGCUUGUUUGCCGAGCUCGCCACGGUCGGCCAAAAGAAGCGUGAAUCAAACACCCAGCCCACGUCCGGGGGGCAGGAUGCCCUGAACGGAUCCGUCGACAAGCAUGGCGGCUGCCCCGGCAACAAGACGGUCUAUGCAUUCUCCUCCCAUUGCGCCGUGGACUGCGACAUGGCAUGCAAGGAUCCUGCUUGCUCCGACCGCUGCUACAUCGACUGCCCCUACACGGCCGCGAGGUUCGGCUACAUCAUGGCCACCCCGGCCAACAAGAAAGCCAUAGGGGAAGACAUGGAUUGCUUCAAGCGUUGUGCAAAGGAAAAGGAUGCCACGAAUGACAAGUGCCUCGUUUCAUGCAAGCUCAUUUCUCCUGCCCUCGUCUCGGCCCCGCCCCAUGGCGCUUGA
rnacentral:rRNA from 1 species